UACGGGGGGGGCAAGCGUUGUUCGGAAUUACUGGGUGUAAAGGGUUCGUAGGCGGUGUGGCAAGUCGGGAGUGAAAUCUCUGGGCUCAACCCAGAGUCUGCUUCCGAAACUGCUGUGCUUGAGUGUGGGAGAGGCGCGUGGAAUUGCAGGUGUAGCGGUGAAAUGCGUAGAUAUCUGCAGGAACACCCGUGGCGAAAGCGGCGCGCUGGACCACUACUGACGCUGAGGAACGAAAGCGAGGGGAGCAAACAGG
rnacentral:rRNA from 1 species